rnacentral:rRNA from 1 species
AACGUAGGUGGCGAGCGUUAUCCGGAUUUACUGGGCGUAAAGCGUGUGCAGGCGGGGUGACAAGUGGUGUAUGAAAUCUCCAGGCUAAACCUGGAGGGGUUAUGCCAGACUGUCAUUCUAGAGUGCGAGAGAGGGGCGUGGAAUUCCGGGUGUAGUGGUGAAAUGCGCAGAUAUCAGGAGGAACACCGGUGGCGAAGGCAAUCCCCUGGACCUGUACUGACGCUCAUGCACGAAAGCGUGGGGAGCAAACAGG